ACGUCGCCACAGGGGAUCUGCCAUAGACCAGAGAAACUGAAGAGAGGGGAGAUAAAAACGGAGUAGGCUCUCCGGCAUCGACAGAGGGGAUCCGGCGUGCAUGGCCGCGGACAUCUGGCCUCCUACCAUCUUCUUACUCUUUCAAACACCAGACCUGUAAACAAAGGAUCUUUAAUGGUGGUGAAAGUCUCCAACAAUGCCCAGGGGGUUUCGAUGACGAUGAACAGCGACAACGAGGAUUCCGAUCUAGGGUUCCGGCAACCAUUCAAGACGGUACGAUGAGGGCCAGGAGACACUAAUCAGCAACCGGUAGGUCAAGUGUUGACGUCACAUUCUGCGGUUUACGUCGGUGUUUACGACGGUCACGGUGGGCCUGGAGCGUCGAGAUUCAUCACGAAUCAUCUCUUUGAUCGAUGUUUUCUGAUUGGAAGACCGCCAGUCUACUGUUCCACCAGACUCAUCACCAGGCUCAUCACUGACGACGAAUAACAAUCAUUUUUAUCAGUCGUCAGCACAGGUUAGUUAUCGCGCUACUCUACUUCGUAACUCAUCUGCAAAUAGAUCAUUAUACUUAGAUAUUGGUGACUGUGAUAGAAUCUGUGAGUUUUGCGACGCUAAAUUUUGGUAUGAUGAGCGCUUAGUUUCAGCCUCGGUCAGCCAACGUUCUAUGUAUACACAAUGUUGCAAAGAAGGUCGUGUGACACUUCCCUAUCCUGAACGACCUCAUCAGGUAAUAUUACAGUUAGCAAAGAAUACUUAACUCUCAAUCAUAUUUUUCCCUUAUCCACCACAAGUUGAGCCCCCGAGGCAACCCAAUACCCGGGCGUCUGUUGUGGGCCCCGUGUCAUCUCCGUUGUGUCAACAAAUUUCAGUAGCUUCGGUGCUUGAACGGGAGCUGGUGGGCCCCCGGGGUAUACAGCCGAGUUUAUAUUGGAACAAAUCUACAUUUGUAUCCAAACAUCAUGGUGUAGUCUUAAUGCUUAAAUGGAUGAAGAUGAGGUGGCCGGGAUCAAGGCUGCCCACUUCGAGGAUCCAUGAAGUAAACAAACAGACAAGUAGCUGUAAAGUUAAUGAGGCGGCUCAUGAAUCAUGUUGCUGAAGUCGUAUCUGCAGAUAAGGAUGUCUUAAAAGAGCUGAACCAAUUAUGUGAACAUCUGAUAUAUCGCCUGAUGAAUUGUUGCAGCCAGAACAAGCUAAUCUUUUAUUAGAGAAGUCGGAUGUACAAAUAGACGCUGAUGAUGAUGAGUCUCCAACAUCAAAAAAUACCAGGCGUUUGCAAAGAAAUUGCAGCAGUCCAGAUGAUUUGGGGCCGAGUUUCGCGUCCUUGAAGCAACAUCCGGGAUAGAAGCAGGUGCAGGGUGCUGAUUCUUCUGCUGGCAGAGAUGAUAAUGAUGAUUUAUACAACAUAGAUCACGUUACAAGUCAACACUCAUACGGGAUCAGCGAUGCCAUUGCUGUUACAAAUCAAAUGAACACCGGAUAGUCUUUUCGGCUUCUACGAUAUGUGAAUGUGUACCCGGCCGCAACGCGGCGGGUGUUACACCUAGUUACAACUAAAGAGCUACGGUUCCGAGCUCAAACCUAAAUCGAUCACCAUUCGCUGGAUCACUUAGGAAAAAGACUUGCAGAUACCCCAAAACUUAAGAUUCUGUUCCCGAGUCUCAUUUAACAGGGGGAGGGGAAUCAUGUUCCCGAGUUUCAUUUAACAGGGGGAGGGGAGGGAAAAGAAGGGAAAAGGGAAGAAAAUAUGACCAUAUAUUCAUCCUCCCAAAUUUGAGAGAUUAGGAGAGAAAAUUUUCCCUCCCCUCCCCCUGUUAAAUGAGACUCG
rnacentral:lncRNA from 1 species